GGGUUGUGAGGUUAAGCGACUAAGCGUACACGGUGGAUGCCCUGGCAGUCAGAGGCGAUGAAGGACGUGCUAAUCUGCGAUAAGCGUCGGUAAGGUGAUAUGAACCGUUAUAACCGGCGAUUUCCGAAUGGGGAAACCCAGUGUGAUUCGUCACACUAUCAUUAACUGAAUCCAUAGGUUAAUGAGGCGAACCGGGGGAACUGAAACAUCUAAGUACCCCGAGGAAAAGAAAUCAACCGAGAUUCCCCCAGUAGCGGCGAGCGAACGGGGAGCAGCCCAGAGCCUGAAUCAGUGUGUGUGUUAGUGGAAGCGUCUGGAAAGGCGCGCGAUACAGGGUGACAGCCCCGUACACAAAAAUACACAUACUGUGAGCUCGAUGAGUAGGGCGGGACACGUGGUAUCCUGUCUGAAUAUGGGGGGACCAUCCUCCAAGGCUAAAUACUCCUGACUGACCGAUAGUGAACCAGUACCGUGAGGGAAAGGCGAAAAGAACCCCGGCGAGGGGAGUGAAAAAGAACCUGAAACCGUGUACGUACAAGCAGUGGGAGCACGCUUAGGCGUGUGACUGCGUACCUUUUGUAUAAUGGGUCAGCGACUUAUAUUCUGUAGCAAGGUUAACCGAAUAGGGGAGCCGAAGGGAAACCGAGUCUUAACUGGGCGUUAAGUUGCAGGGUAUAGACCCGAAACCCGGUGAUCUAGCCAUGGGCAGGUUGAAGGUUGGGUAACACUAACUGGAGGACCGAACCGACUAAUGUUGAAAAAUUAGCGGAUGACUUGUGGCUGGGGGUGAAAGGCCAAUCAAACCGGGAGAUAGCUGGUUCUCCCCGAAAGCUAUUUAGGUAGCGCCUCGUGAAUUCAUCUCCGGGGGUAGAGCACUGUUUCGGCAAGGGGGUCAUCCCGACUUACCAACCCGAUGCAAACUGCGAAUACCGGAGAAUGUUAUCACGGGAGACACACGGCGGGUGCUAACGUCCGUCGUGAAGAGGGAAACAACCCAGACCGCCAGCUAAGGUCCCAAAGUCAUGGUUAAGUGGGAAACGAUGUGGGAAGGCCCAGACAGCCAGGAUGUUGGCUUAGAAGCAGCCAUCAUUUAAAGAAAGCGUAAUAGCUCACUGGUCGAGUCGGCCUGCGCGGAAGAUGUAACGGGGCUAAACCAUGCACCGAAGCUGCGGCAGCGACGCUUAUGCGUUGUUGGGUAGGGGAGCGUUCUGUAAGCCUGCGAAGGUGUGCUGUGAGGCAUGCUGGAGGUAUCAGAAGUGCGAAUGCUGACAUAAGUAACGAUAAAGCGGGUGAAAAGCCCGCUCGCCGGAAGACCAAGGGUUCCUGUCCAACGUUAAUCGGGGCAGGGUGAGUCGACCCCUAAGGCGAGGCCGAAAGGCGUAGUCGAUGGGAAACAGGUUAAUAUUCCUGUACUUGGUGUUACUGCGAAGGGGGGACGGAGAAGGCUAUGUUGGCCGGGCGACGGUUGUCCCGGUUUAAGCGUGUAGGCUGGUUUUCCAGGCAAAUCCGGAAAAUCAAGGCUGAGGCGUGAUGACGAGGCACUACGGUGCUGAAGCAACAAAUGCCAUGCUUCCAGGAAAAGCCUCUAAGCAUCAGGUAACAUCAAAUCGUACCCCAAACCGACACAGGUGGUCAGGUAGAGAAUACCAAGGCGCUUGAGAGAACUCGGGUGAAGGAACUAGGCAAAAUGGUGCCGUAACUUCGGGAGAAGGCACGCUGAUAUGUAGGUGAAGCGACUUGCUCGUGGAGCUGAAAUCAGUCGAAGAUACCAGCUGGCUGCAACUGUUUAUUAAAAACACAGCACUGUGCAAACACGAAAGUGGACGUAUACGGUGUGACGCCUGCCCGGUGCCGGAAGGUUAAUUGAUGGGGUCAGCGCAAGCGAAGCUCUUGAUCGAAGCCCCGGUAAACGGCGGCCGUAACUAUAACGGUCCUAAGGUAGCGAAAUUCCUUGUCGGGUAAGUUCCGACCUGCACGAAUGGCGUAAUGAUGGCCAGGCUGUCUCCACCCGAGACUCAGUGAAAUUGAACUCGCUGUGAAGAUGCAGUGUACCCGCGGCAAGACGGAAAGACCCCGUGAACCUUUACUAUAGCUUGACACUGAACAUUGAGCCUUGAUGUGUAGGAUAGGUGGGAGGCUUUGAAGUGUGGACGCCAGUCUGCAUGGAGCCGACCUUGAAAUACCACCCUUUAAUGUUUGAUGUUCUAACGUUGACCCGUAAUCCGGGUUGCGGACAGUGUCUGGUGGGUAGUUUGACUGGGGCGGUCUCCUCCUAAAGAGUAACGGAGGAGCACGAAGGUUGGCUAAUCCUGGUCGGACAUCAGGAGGUUAGUGCAAUGGCAUAAGCCAGCUUGACUGCGAGCGUGACGGCGCGAGCAGGUGCGAAAGCAGGUCAUAGUGAUCCGGUGGUUCUGAAUGGAAGGGCCAUCGCUCAACGGAUAAAAGGUACUCCGGGGAUAACAGGCUGAUACCGCCCAAGAGUUCAUAUCGACGGCGGUGUUUGGCACCUCGAUGUCGGCUCAUCACAUCCUGGGGCUGAAGUAGGUCCCAAGGGUAUGGCUGUUCGCCAUUUAAAGUGGUACGCGAGCUGGGUUUAGAACGUCGUGAGACAGUUCGGUCCCUAUCUGCCGUGGGCGCUGGAGAACUGAGGGGGGCUGCUCCUAGUACGAGAGGACCGGAGUGGACGCAUCACUGGUGUUCGGGUUGUCAUGCCAAUGGCACUGCCCGGUAGCUAAAUGCGGAAGAGAUAAGUGCUGAAAGCAUCUAAGCACGAAACUUGCCCCGAGAUGAGUUCUCCCUGACUCCUUGAGAGUCCUGAAGGAACGUUGAAGACGACGACGUUGAUAGGCCGGGUGUGUAAGCGCAGCGAUGCGUUGAGCUAACCGGUACUAAUGAACCGUGAGGCUUAACCUUACAACGCCGAAGGUGUUU
rnacentral:rRNA from 1 species